GCUGGCGGCAGGCCUAACACAUGCAAGUCGAGCGGGGGAGCAAUCCCUAGCGGCGGACGGGUUAGUAACGCGUGGGAACAUACCCUUUGGUACGGAAUAGCCUCGGGAAACUGAGAGUAAUACCGUAUGUGCCCUUCGGGGGAAAGAUUUAUCGCCAAAGGAUUGGCCCGCGUUGGAUUAGAUAGUUGGUGGGGUAAUGGCCUACCAAGCCUACGAUCCAUAGCUGGUUUGAGAGGAUGAUCAGCAACACUGGGACUGAGACACGGCCCAGACUCCUACGGGAGGCAGCAGUGGAGAAUCUUAGACAAUGGGCGCAAGCCUGAUCUAGCCAUGCCGCGUGAGCGAUGAAGGCCUUAGGGUUGUAAAGCUCUUUCAGAUGGGAAGAUAAUGACGGUACCAUCAGAAGAAGCCCCGGCUAACUCCGUG
rnacentral:rRNA from 1 species